CUGGCAGUGCUUGGGAAACAUCCCUGAACCCGUGCCUCCUGCCAAUCUGAGUGCACCUUGCAGAUGUCCACAGAGUCAAAGUACCUGAUAAAGUCACUAUACUCCAUCCAGAAAACACCCUCGCUGCUGCCAUGUGGCAUGAGCUCAGCUCGUAGGUGCCCUGGCCAGUGUGGCCACUCAUCCGACCAGCUGCCAUUCCAGGAGAAACGGCCCCAUGGGUUCCGGAGUCGCAGGAGCCUAUAGAUCACAGGACUGAGAACCAAGACUAUGUGCCUUGUGUCCAUGCACUUGUCCACCCUCAGCCAGUUGGGCCCUUACCUGGAGCCCUGAACAUCACGAACAUCCAAGAUGGAGUAAGCAUGGCGGGGGCGCAGACCCAGGCUCUCGUAAGCAGCAUCAUCUACCUUCAUGUUACCUCCCCCACAGGAGGCACCCAUGAGAAACCUGUUUAGGCAGAGUGACACUGGCUGAUGGAAUGGGUGGUAACAGGGGAGAUGACCCUUCUUGAAUAUGGGGGUAUAGUCUGGGACCCAUGUGACACACGCUUUCUGGAUGAGCUCAGUGUGUCUGGCUAGAACAAGCUGGUUUCUGAAGGCUUAGGCCUGAAAUGUGGGCAGUACUACUGCCUAGGUUCAGCUGGAGGUAGGGAUUUUGGCAUCCUCUCCCAGGACUAGAACUUCUGUAGGUCUUUGGGUCUAGACUCUUCUAGACCUUGGGAAAGGAGUGUCAAGGUUCACAACACCGACCAGGGUGUGGCAUGUCUCAGAACACCUCCUCCUACUCCUCAGGGUCUCUCUGUGAACUCUUGCCUGUAUUUUCCUAAGUGAGAGGUAAUGAGAUCUGGCCUCUUUCUAGGGUGGCUACCUAGAAUGGCUAUACUUCUUAGCUAUGGCUCACUAAGAACCUAGUUAGAUGCGGGUACAGUCAGAGGGCACUGGCCCCACUUCUCCCACCACUCCACUCUUCUCUCCUCCCAAUGCCACAGACCAUGGCAGCGACGGCCUCUUACCCAGCCUCCUUAGAACUCAGCAUUUUGGCCCAGAUGAGGUCAGUAUCAACAGGUUCUUCUCGGGGAUUAGUGGAGCUGACCUGCAGCGCCAGACUCUCACAGGGGGCACCGGUGAGUGUGGCCAGGCCUUCAAUGGCACGCCCUGCCUGGAGUGCAAAGUAGGAGCCGUGCAGCUUGGCCAGCGCCUUCUCAAUGAGGGCCACCCACAGCUGCUUCCGUUGUGCCUGGGGGAG